CUCACAUUCUUUGCUUUUGUUGCACCAACUUCUCAAGUUAAAAGGUUAAUCCAGACGUGAACAUCAACAUCAAUGUGCCUAGAGGGGUAUCAUCUACACCUCACUGACAAGGCCCAAAGAAGGCCAAAACAUCUGUCCGGGGUUGCUGUAUCUCUCACGCAGAGGUGGGGGGAGAGCUUGUGCUUUGUCAGGGGCCCCAAAAUUUCUGAUGGCGGCUCUGGUAAUCUGUUUAACAUUUUAACUGCACAUGGUAACUCCAGAUCUUGCAAAAACUUCACUGAAAUUAAGUUCUUAUGGUGCUGGAAUUGGGGCAGAUUGUUCUGUUCACAGCUUAUUGUAUUGCUUCUGUUGCCUAUGCUCUAUCAAUACAGACGUAAUAACAAAAAUGUGAAAAAAGAGCUAG